CCUACGGGAGGCAGCAGUGGGGAAUAUUGGACAAUGGGCGAAAGCCUGAUCCAGCCAUGCCGCGUGUGUGAAGAAGGUCUUCGGAUUGUAAAGCACUUUAAGUUGGGAGGAAGGGUUGUAGAUUAAUACUCUGCAAUUUUGACGUUACCGACAGAAUAAGCACCGGCUAACUCUGUGCCAGCAGCCGCGGUAAUACAGAGGGUGCAAGCGUUAAUCGGAAUUACUGGGCGUAAAGCGCGCGUAGGUGGUUCGUUAAGUUGGAUGUGAAAUCCCCGGGCUCAACCUGGGAACUGCAUUCAAAACUGUCGAGCUAGAGUAUGGUAGAGGGUGGUGGAAUUUCCUGUGUAGCGGUGAAAUGCGUAGAUAUAGGAAGGAACACCAGUGGCGAAGGCGACCACCUGGACUGAUACUGACACUGAGGUGCGAAAGCGUGGGGGAGCAAACAGGAUUAGAUACCCUGGUAGUCCACGCCGUAAACGAUGUCAACUAGCCGUUGGGAGCCUUGAGCUCUUAGUGGCGCAGCUAACGCAUUAAGUGACCGCCUGGGGAUACGGCCGCAAGGUUAAAACCNGAAAGAUUGCGGNNGAGAGAGACGACGACGACGACGAGGGAGGAG
rnacentral:rRNA from 1 species